GUAUCGAUGACGACAUGUCGCUGAACGCCAAAUUAAUGAUGAACGUAUUGGCCGGUGGCGAUCGGAGUCGUUUGAACCUGUAAAAUGAAAGGAAUCUAUUAUACCUUGAGAAAAUGAAGAGGACUGUUCCAUUAGCAGCUAGUCCAAAGAUGCCAAUAGUGGAGACAAUCAAUCCCAUAAUUAUGAAAGCGUUUCGAGGGAAAUGCUUCAAGAGCAGCAACUGUUCUUUGGUCCAGAACGGAUCCUCAUUAAAAGUCGAGAGCACCAGUGAAUCGUUACGAUCGAUCUCCAUCGCUAUAUCCACGCCGUCAGCACCAUUAAUUACGUCGUCGCUGCUGAAAUUCAUCCGGUCGAUGUUCGUCCGCUGCGCCAAACAGAGAAUUACACACGACAUACAUACUCAGACAAUAUUUAUGGAGGACACUUUAGCCAGUGCAUUAGCCGUCUUCCCUGCAUCAUACACCAGUAUUCCAUGAAUAAUAGAGCAUUAACAAGAGGAAACUGUGAUGGAUUACCAGACGGGCGUCAUAAAAGGAUAAGGAGUACACCGGAAAAAAAGAUUUUUUAUGGAUGGAUUGAUGAUGCUAAGGUCGCAACAGCUAUCUAUCCCUGCCAUAACCCACACGUAAUAAUAGUGACAUUCCCAAAAGUUUUGAUAAUAACUGAACGCUCUCUGAGCGACACGAAUGAACGAAGCCUGCAUUCGAAUCCAUCACUAUUGUGUAAAGCCUACGCACGGCACUCUUACCAUGGAAGCUUCACACAAAUGAAGAGGCUUAUGUAAGUUACGUGGUAUGCAGAGCUAUUCAGCACGCGAUCUCCUAGGGUUGGACACGAGUUUGUUACUGAUGCCGGUUCUCCGCAAUCGUUCCGCUUUUCGCGAUUGCCCACUGUUGCUGCUAGCAGCUAGUCAAAUCCACCGCAUCCCCCGGUAGCCGGUACGGGUCUGUGGAGCUAUCUUCGUUGUCCUGUUAAGGGCAUGCGCUGUCUGAUGUGCGCAUCAAGUUGCAUCGUUUGAAAAUGAACUUCAAUUCAUCUAUGACAAUGAAGUAGUUUUUUUUUUACUUCUACACUUGUAGCGGCCCGAAUUGCUGUGUAAUUGCUUGCGUGAAGUGCGUAGUGCUUACUCACGUUUGUUUUCUUCAUUUCCAAUUACAGCGGGGAAUGCCGGGUUUCCAAGACAACGAGAUUCAUUCCGAACUUGAUCAUCUUUUGAUGUCGGCAGCAGACGGCUGUGACUGACACGUAUUGUCGUUUUAUCGCUAGGAGCUAGGAGGCGACAAAUUUAGUUGACGCCCAACUUGCUUGGGAGUUUCAUGUAGCAGAGUCCUCCAUAGAAUCAUGAAGAUAGUAUACUUUUGAUAUCAACACUUUUUCUCUUCAUUUGUCAAACGAAAGGAAGAAACUGUAUUGCCUCUAAGAGAACAAGUCCAUUUAAUGAAUAUAAAUGUUGGUGAGUCACACGGUUUACAUACCCUGGAAAUUGAGGUGACUUACACAUCCAAAUUUCUUCUUAUUCCCUUUACGUUUUCCUCUUCUCAUUAUUCGUUGAAGUUCUACAGGGGUCGUUUUAAAGGUCACUGACUCAUCUGUAAGUGCAAAGUAAGAUCUUUCCCUAUAAUCAGCACCUAUUUGAAAUUUUUGCACGCCGCGUUCAAGUAUUCCCAUCUUUUCUGCUCUUUGACUAAUCCUCUUGGCACUUUAACACAAUCGCAGUUUAUCCGUAAUUAUUUCCUUAAGAGCGAAGGCGAAGCAUCAACAGGGCUAGCAUCAAAGUUUCCAUUAAUAUGCAGUAUGUAUAAGUAGUAUCACACAAUAGAUUAUUAAUCUCUUAUUCAGUGUUGUAGUACAGCUUGCUGAGUGGCAAUAAAUCUUUGUCUCAGUUUGAACAAG